UUUUCAAAAGGUUAUCAAAAAGUUUCACCAAAUAUAUUAAUCACGCAAUCGAUGAAUUCAACAAUUUGCAAAUGAAAACUAAAAGAGAUUGAGAGAGAGAGAGAGUACACAAGGAUUUGUUUAGACAAAUCCCCAAUUGACCUCGCUAUGGGUAUGUCUGCCCUCAAUUCGAACUUGAAUUGAGAUGGUAACAAUUAACCUUACUUUACAUAAGUCGCUUACAAGAUAAAUGGAGCAAUGCAACCAUACAAACCCUAUGUUUGAUGUUGAUUCUAACACUUUCUCUUCCCUUGAUAUUAGCUUGAUCAAGUCACCCAACAAUACCAAUUUGAUACACCGUCUCACGCUACUCCUUUGAAAAAAACCAUGUUUUUCAAAGCUUUCACUCGAUCGAAUAAAAAUUACGAAUUGUUGUAACCCAAGAUUUACCAAGAUGAUCCACCGUUUCACACUACUCCUUUGCAAGAAACCCCCGUUCUUCAAAGCUUUCACCCGAUUGAAUCCAACUUGCGUAUCUUGUCAAAAACCUUCAAAUCCCCAAUUGACAUUGAAGGAAAACCCCAACUUGGUUUUUUGAUUUGAAACCCCCAAAUAUCCUCAACCCGAUUUACAGUUCAACAACCUAAAAUGGAUAUUAUCAACACUGAUUCUAGAUGGCACCUAAAUAAAAUAUGAUUAUGUGUAGUUUGUUUAUGUGUAUGUAUAGAACGUAGGUUUAAGAUGAAGAGAACUAUUUUAUGUUCCUUGUUUCAUUUAUGGUUUUCUCAAUACCACACCUUGAAAAUGAUGUUGUUGUGAAUAGUUUUUUAUAUAUAUAUAUUAUAUAUAUAAUAUAUAUAUAUUAUAUAUAUUAUAUAUUAUAGUUAUUUACUAUUUAUAUAUACUAUAUUAUAUUAUCUGUGUGUGUGUGUGUGUGUGUGUGUGUGUGUGCGUGUGUGUGUGUGUGUGUGUGUAUGUGUGUGUGUGUGUGUGCAAGUGUGAGGCAAAAGGAAUGCAAGAGGUUUUAAAAAUGCAAAAUUUUCAAGAUUUUUAAUGCAUGUACCGACCUAUGUAAGUCAUGUGUUGACUCAUUCGAUGCAUGUGUCGACUCAUACAUGAGAUACAUCAAACAUAAGCUACAUGCUUUAAAAAUGACAUGCAUGUGCCGACUCAUAACUCGUAUGUGUUGAAUCAUAUAAGAAUUUUUCUUCUAUGUGUCGACCUGAAAUUAUCUAUGUGUCGACACAUCAAACAAAAUGCUACAACCUUUAAAAAUGAUCCAUAUGUGUUGACUCAUAGAAUAUAUGUGUCGACACAUAGACCUAUUUUUCACAGAAAAACCAGUUUUUAAUGCAUGAAACCUUUUCUAACCCAUUCCUAACUUACCUAAUACUAAGAUGCGCAUUUAGACUCAGAGAAUGCCAUCAAAUAUACAUAAAUGCUAAAUUGUACUAGUUUUGAUAUCAUACAAAACAAUUCUAAUAGGAAGGUGCAUUCACACCGGUUUAUAUUUGGAUAACAAAAUGGAUACCCGCUUUUAUAUUUUAGCAUUUGGAUUAAGUUUAAGAAGUGGAAUAAUUUGGAUACCAAUUUGGUUAAGAAUAAUAAAUUUUUUUGCACACCCCUAUGAGUAUGCGUGAAUAUAUGAUGUGAAGUGUGAGUAUAAUUAUGUAAAUUGUUGUAAAUACUUAUUUAUGAUUGUUGAGAUGAGUAGUUCGGAGUGAGAACUACUAUUGAAGCAUUAAAAUACAUUAUUGUUUACAGUCAGGUGUUGGGUUGUAAUUAUUAUGGUGUUGUUGUCAUUGCAUUAUUUUAUGCCAUGCAUCAAAUGUUGUCGUUGUUGUGAAAGUGAUAUGUUUGCUAGUUCAGAAGUUGGGACUAGUGACUUGUCCCAAGCUCAAAAGUUGGGACUUGGAGCUCAGAUGUUAGGGCUCAGGGUUCAGAUGUUAGGACCUGAUUCGUAUGAAUAACAAAAGAGACGAGUCACGAGUUCAGAUGUUGGGACUUGUGAUUUGUCCCAAGCUCAGAUGUUACGGCUCAGUUCAAGAACAAAAUAUUGAGUUGGUACCACACGCAUACUGUCACGUCGUGUCGUGAGUCUCAUUGCAUAUAUUUUCAUAUUAUUAUGAAUGAGUGUGAGUUUAUGGUAUUGUUGGUUGUGUAUUGAAUGUAUGAUAUGUUGUAUAUUUCUCUACCUUUGGAUUCUUUACACCGUUUAUAUUAAAGUUUAUUUCACCCCCCAUCUACUUUAUAUUGUCCACCAUGGAUAUGUUGCAGAUAAUCAGGAGUACAUUUUUGUUGUUGUGAGUGAAAGAUGGUUUAUUGGAGCUCAUCUUCAUUACUUUGUCAUUUAUAGCUUUUAGCCGGUUAAAUACUUUGAUUUGUAACAUCAGGAACAAGGCGUUUUUACCAUGUUUUGAGUUAAUAUUGAAUUAUGUGGUUUAAAGUCUAAUACUUUAUUUGUGAAAUUUAGUUUUUAAGUUGUUAUUAUAAUAAUUUUCGCUGCAUGUUGUUAAGAGUUCUUGAAAGUUUUUGGAUGGUUGUCGUAGUGACACCUUAAAUUGUCGAUUAAAUCUUUUAUAUAAGUACGAGGUUUGGGGUGUUACAUUAGCCAUCUAUUAAAACUUAUCUCUUGGUUCGUGAGUUUAGCCUAUGCUAAAAGCUCUUAGUUAGUUGUGUAGGUCUCCGUACUUAAAACUUUGUUCUUUGUUGGAAACUAGCCAUUGGAAAAUUUCAAUCCUUGUAAAAGGAGGUUUGUGGGCAUAUCCUAUUAAAAUCUCUCAAGAUAGUGAAGAUUCUCAAGAAGAAUUUUUGGGGAAAGGACUAGGUCGCAUAAUUAAGAGAGAACCUCUAUAAUUCAGGUAUUUUCACUUAUCCCUUAACUCUUUAUUCUCUAGUCUUUUAUUUUUGCCGCUAUUACUCUGUUUGUUUUACAAAAGGUUUUCAAACUUAAUUUUUGUAAAAGAAAAUCAUUUGAAUUUUUUUUAAAUCAAACACAAUUCUGAUCAACAUAUUUGUCCAAAUAAGUAUAAGCUUUACAAUGGAGGUGCUUCUGGAUCUAGGCUGAGGCACAUUCUAGAUAUGUUUGGAUUCACUAUGAGAUAUAUACCAUUUAACUAUCUUGGAGUUUCUAUAUUCGAAGGAAAGACUAGAACUCAUCAUUUGUAUAUCGUAUGAACUAGAGUAUUGGCCAAGCUAGCUAGUUGGAAAGGCUACCUUAUUUCUAUGAUAGGUAGCAUUCAAUUGGUCAUGUCAGUCAUACAUGGCAUGAUUCUGUAUAGUCUUAAGAUUUAUGAGUGACCAAUCAAUCUUCUUAAAAAACUAUAUUCUAGCAUUAGAAAAAUUGUAUGGACAUAUAACAUAGACAAUAAAAAGAUAAUUAAUACAUCUUCGAAGGUUAUUUUCUCAACUUUUUCUAAAAGAGGUUUUAGUCUAAGAGAUAUUAAGACAAUAGAAAAAGAUGGUUGUUUAUCUCUUUGUUGGAAGUUGUUGAAUAUCAUUAAUGAAUGGUAUUAUAUGCUUAUUAGUAUAUACUUCAGGCACAAAAUGUCAAUCAACAUCAUAUUUCUUCUUCAACAUGGUCUGACAUUAAACAUUCAUUUUCUUUUAUGGAAGAACAUAGUAGAUGGCAAGUUGGUGAUGAAAAGAACAUUGAUUUAUAGAGUGACAAUUGGUUGGGAUGUAAAAUAAAGAUUUACACCUAGUAUUACCAAUGGAUAUUCAAUUUAUGCAAACUUCUAAGAUCGAUUCAAUUAUGCAGGACAUCAAUUAGAAAAUUCCUCAUGACUUAUCCAUUUUGACUCCUCAAAUUGUUGAAGACAUUUUGAAGAUUAACUUGUCAUUUGAUAAUACUACUAUUGAUAAACUCAUUUGGAAAGAAUUUGUAAAUGAUGAUCUAUAUUUUAAAGAUGUCUACAAUUGUAUCAGAAGGGAUCACAUUUAUCUUUCUUGAACAAAAUUCAUUUAACAUCCAUCCAUAUCACCUGCUAAGUCAUCAGUGACUUGGAAACGAAUGCAUAAUGUAUUGCAACAUAAGACAACCUGAUUUGAAGGAGAAUUUAUAUGGUAUCGAGGUUCUCUCUAUGCAAUCAUGAUGUGGAAUCUACAUACCACUUAUUUCUCAUAUGCAACUACACUUUACUUUUUUGACAUUGGAUAAAGCGAUUGUUUGGCAUGAACAUUGAUAGAAUUAGUUACGAAAGUUUAUUCAAAUUUGUUGGUAGAAGUUGGAGCUCUCAAAUUCAAAAUGUGAUAAGAACUAUCAUCAUAAUAAUUCUUUAGAAAAUUUAUCACACAAUAAAUGAUACUAGGUUUUGAAAUGAUAAAAUUGAGUUUUACAGAGACAUCAUUCAUGUUAAAAAAAAUAGUUUAUAUGACAUUUACUUCUUUUAAAGGGCACAUGUACUCUACAAUUCACGAGUUUAUAAUUAUUAAUCCUUCGACAUCAAAUGUCGACCUCCUUUUGCACCUAGAGUCAUACAAAUUAAUUGAUGUUUUCCUAAUCAUACUUGAAUUAAGUGCAACAUGGAUGAAGCUUCAAGAGAAAAUCCUAGAAUAUCACCUUGUGGUUACAUCUUUAAGGAUAAUAUAAGAAUAUUCUUAGGAGAUUUCUCAGCUAAGAUUAAGUUUUGUACCUCCUUUCAAGUCGACUUGCGUGAAAUCAUUGCUUGCUAUCAAAUAUGCUAAUAGGAAGAAUUAGAGAAAUAUGUAACUUGAAACUCACUCAUUGCUGACCAUUUGUCAAAUGAUAAUUAUACAUUUUUAGAUUUAAGAUAUUUUACAUAUUUUAAGAGAGGAAAACACACGUGCAGAUUAAAUUAGUCAAUGCAAUUUUUUUGUGUUGAUUAUGGCACCUAGUGAAAUUCACUUCCUAUUUAUAUUUUUGAAAGUUUUUUUAUACAUAGUUUGAACAUGUUCAAUUAUCAUUUUUACUAAUUUUUUUGAUGGGUUAGAUUUAUAUUCAUUAUUCUUUUAAUUUUUUAUUUUUUAUUUAAUUUGUCUUAUAAAAAAUAAAGUAGAUGUAACUAUAAGUCAAAUAAUAAUUACAACAACAAAAAAUAUAUUAAUUACAAUUUUUUUAAUAUACAUAUAAUACAUCAUGAAAUCAUAUAUUAAGUGUUUUUUAACGAUGAAAUAAUCAAGCGGGAACUUAGACUACCGACUCCAAUGAAGAGCAUACAAAUGUUUCUUUUAAGGUAACCAUUUAACUACCUUUUUCUCUUUAAAGGAAAAAAAAAACACAAUGAUAAAAUAUACUUAAAUAUUCACCUCAUAUUAUUUUAGUUAAUUUCAUAUAAAGUCGACUAAUAUAUCAAUCAAUACAUAUAUUGUAUGAUAGAUCUACAAAACAAAAGGCAAAUUAACUAGUCCAUUUAUAGUGAAUACAAUUUAAUACUUAUAUAAAAUUUCAACUGUAAUAAAUAGAAAAGUGAAGAAAAACCAUCUAAAUAGUCAUGAAUAUCAAGAUCUUGAUAAAAGAAAAGUGAUAUGCCAAAGGAUUGGAGUUGCCCUGAGAUGUGUAGGGUGAGAAUUAAUAAUUACUAGUACUACCCCCACCUUCAUCACCAAUAUCACUUAUCAUAAUCUUCAGCCAUAAAAUAGCAAACUUGGGUGGUGGGGAAAGCAUUAUUUGGCAGUGCUAAGAGAGAAAAUUAUUACACGAUCGAGCUUUUUAAGAACUUGUGGAAUAAAAGGGUUUGUGUUGUGUUGGAGUAUAGAAGCAUAGCAAUGAGGAAGGGUUUAUAAAGGAGAAAGGAAAAGAGAAAAGGGUUUAAUUGUAAGUGAGGUAUGAGCAUCUUCCAAGGGAUAUGCGUCGAAUCG
rnacentral:lncRNA from 1 species